CUGUUAAAAAAGAAGAAAAACAAAGGGAAAAAGGCCGGAGGGAGGGCUUCAAGAUUAGGACCAACCAAGGAGAUGCACUAACAAAGGAAAAGUGAGUUCCUUAAUUGGAGGUGGUCUGCGUUUAAAGAGCUCUGAUGUCCUGCAGAUGCCAAGGACAGGGAAUGCAGUCUGUGUAAUUACUACAGAGAAACUGAGAGGCAGGCUAAGGGAGGAUAUCCCAGACUCCAGGACAGUGGCUGAGGCAGCAGCUUUCAAGUACAGCUCUGUAAUAAUCCAGCGAUAUAUUUACUGUAGUCCAGCUCUGGUGGAGUUUAAAAUCCAAAGACGGAUGUUUGAAAUAGGCAGAAGAAGACCAAGAGGGAAACAUCUGUUACAGACAAAGUGAAAGUAAAGACUUCCAAUAGCAAAGACAAAAAUGCAAAUGCAAGGCAAAAGCGAAGCAAACAACCUCUCUGGGAAAG